CCUACGGGUGGCAGCAGUAGGGAAUCUUCCACAAUGGGCGAAAGCCUGAAGGAGCAACGCCGCGUGGGUGAAGAAGGUCUUCGGAUCGUUAAACCCUGUUGUUAGAGAAGAAAGUGCGUGAGCGUAACUGUUCACGUUUCGACGGUAUCUAACAAGAAAGCCACGGCUAACUACGUGCCAGCAGCCGCGGUAAUACGUAAGUGGCAAGCGUUAUCCGGAUUGAUUGGGCGGAAAGGGAACGAAGGCGGUCUUUUAAGUAUGAUGUGAAAGCCUUCGGCUUAACCGGAGUAGUGCAUUGGAAACUGGGAGACUUGAGUGCAGAAGAGGAGAGUGGAACUCCAUGUGUAGCGGUGAAAUGCGUAGAUAUAGGGAAGAACACCAGUGGCGAAAGCGGAUCUCUGGUCUGUAACUGACGCUGAGGUUCGAAAGCGUGGGUAGCAAACAGGAUUAGAUACCCGAGUAGUC
rnacentral:rRNA from 1 species